rnacentral:rRNA from 1 species
UACAGAGGGUGCAAGCGUUAAUCGGAAUUACUGGGCGUAAAGCGCGCGUAGGUGGUUCGUUAAGUUGGAUGUGAAAGCCCCGGGCUCAACCUGGGAACUGCAUUCAAAACUGACGAGCUAGAGUAUGGUAGAGGGUGGUGGAAUUCCCUGUGUAGCGGUGAAAUGCGUAGAUAUAGGAAGGAACACCAGUGGCGAAGGCGACCACCUGGACUGAUACUGACACUGAGGUGCGAAAGCGUGGGGAGCAAACAGG